GGAGCAUUUUUCAUGCAUCCAAGACAGGAAAUUUGGAGCCAGUUUCUGGGGGUGACACUUUGGCCCGGCGUAGACUUCUUCCUUCUGUUUUGCAUUUUUACUGCGUUUUAAAUAAGUAACAGGGCUGCAGCAGACUGCUGUGCAGGUUAUAACUCUGCCCCAAAGGGCUAGCCAAGUGGACAGAGAGGGUCUGAAGUCCUAGCCAUGCACUCAUUCUACCUGAAAGAAGAGGUGUCUUUCUGCUAAUUCACACAAAGAGUCCAAGUCCCAAUCAAGAUAGAAUUACCUCUUCAAGUAUUUGAGGGCCAUCAUUUAAGAUGAUUUCUUACCGAAAGAAUCUCUUCCGUCUUACGAAAAUAAAAAAAAAAAAUUUCAAUUACCCUCAGUAAGAAAUGGAGCUCACUGUCCUGUAGAGGAGGCAGACAAGCUAAAGAAAAUUAGAACACAAUGGGUAAUAAAUGGAGGCACUGAAAGGCCUUGACCAGAGUCAUACAACUAGCCUGCAACAGAUGAAAG